rnacentral:siRNA from 1 species
UACAAAAUACCAUUGAUGCACAUC